rnacentral:lncRNA from 1 species
CAUGCCUUAAGGAGCAUUAGAAUCACCUGCCGGGAUUAGUAAACACAGAUCAUGGGGCCUCAACCCGUUGUUUCUGAUUCCCAGUAGGUCUGGGGUGGGGCCAAAGAAUGUACAUUUGUUCCAAGCUCCCAGGUGAUGCCUAUGCUGCUGGCCCAGAGCCCACAUUUUGAGAACCACUGGCCUGGGUGAUUCAAGUUACCAGCAAAAAAGGAGGAGGAUUCCAGCAGAUGAGAAGAAAAUAUCCAGAAUAGGAAAAUCCAUAGAGACAUCAGAUCAGCGCUUGCCAGGGACCAUGGGGAAGAGGAAAUGGGGAGUGACUGCUUAAUGGAACGCCUCAGCCACCAGGAAAGGUGCAGACUAGAAAGAUGCCCGCUGUCUGAGACUGCCUGGCCGCCUCCCUCCCGUGCCCUGGUUAGAUGAAUGGGCUGCGUCAGAGGAGCCAAAACGCCAUCUUGGUUCCAGCCACCUGGAUUUUCGACAUGGUCUUAGGCAAGUGUGGUUGUUUUCCAGAAUUCUCAUACUCUACAGAGCACGAACAAACUUUGAUGACAGGAUUCUUUCUUCUCUUUCCGCAUACGAAAACCCAAUUCAGAUGAGCAGUGCGCGCCGUAACCGUUCACAGCCUCAUGGUGCUCCAGCAGAGGCCCAACAAUAGCCUCUUCUUUUCCAUUGGACGACGUCUUGAGUUCCAGAAUGCUGCACUGAGCACAAUGCAGAGCUCCUGGGAGACAUUAAGUGUUCACUUGGUGACUCACUGUGGGCAGAAGAGGACACAAGAUGGAGAAAAGGUAAGAAAAUGCUCAGCAGAGGAGAAGAACUCCACCAGAAGGGCAGCCAUGUUUGUGAGUUCCUGAACAUUGACGACAAGGGUUCCAACAAUGACCAUCUACCAGCUUGUAUUGUCCUCCCGGGUGCUGGGCUGGACUCUGAGGAUGCCAUGCCUCAUUCCGUCCUCACAGGAAGCUACUAUCCAGAGCCGACAGAGGUUUAGUGACUUGGCCAAGGUCAUUCAGCUAGUUAGGAUCCAAGCCCGAGCAAUCGGGCUUCAGACUCCAUGCUCUUAACCACUCCACUCCGCUCCUCCUCCUGAGAAAUGGCGUAGAAAGUCCUCCCAGACUGCUAGCUAUUGCAGCAAUGAUUAGUGCUUAACGAAUUUGUUGACUGAAUGAGUGCAUGCGGGAAAAAGGACUCACUCUGGCUUGCUGAGAGGCUGAAGCCUAAAGCAGAAGACUGCUACAACAGAGCAGACCAGGUCUCGCCUGGAAGAACCAGCUAACACAAGAUCAACCUUCUUCAAAAGGGGGAACAAAUGUCCCUGAAACACAGCUUGUCAGAGACAUUCCCUUCCUCCUUCCACCCUCCUUUGUCACCCAUCACACCCGCCAUUGCUGACAGAACAAAGGUAGCAACCACGUCCUCAGUCUAGGGGCCUGGAGUACGGGUUUGUAACCCAGAAAAGAAGUCUGAUGAGUCUAUUUCCUAAACCAAUGCCUCUCCAAAAUUCUAUUUAAAAAGAAAAAGUUAAUGUGAGGUUGAGCUGUGGAAGAGAAAAUUAACUCAGCUUUUCAUCAGCUUGGACUCCUGGGGUUGUCA